AAACACCCAUCAUCAUCAGUUUAUUAAUGUAGUUUACAUCAUGACGAAAAGUCACCAAAUAUAUGUAGAGAAACACAUGUAAGGGCAUGGAUAACCAUUAAAAACUCAACUGAAAUCUGAGUUAUAUAACACAAUAUUCCCACUCUUCUGGCACAGAAAUACCCCACCGAAUUGUGCUACCUUUUUCUAAAUUGAGACUUGAAAGUCAUAUAAAGUUGUAUAAACUUUAUUAAAAAAGUAGCUAGUAAAUGUCACCAAAUAUGGCAGCUCCACAAACACGUACAGUAACGUAAACAAAUAAAUGAAACCUGCUCAAAUUGAUGAAUUAUAGGAAACAUUUAACAUAGAGGAAUAUGUAUUGCUGAGCUCUUAUUAAUUACACAUAUACAUGAUUUAUGAUGAUUUAUAAUAAUUCUUUUACAGUCUGUUUGUUAUAAGUUACCAUGACCACACUGCGGUUCAAAAGAUAACCCAGUCAAACUACAGUGAGUGAAACCGCAGCAGAGCAUUAACGGGAGGAAUGAUGUCAGAAGGUGCAGCUUUAUCUCUUUUAUCUGCUUCCUCGUGAGCAUCCAGUCGCUCCCUGCGGCCUCUUCCUGCUCCGCUGCAGUCAUUCAUAACACAGCACUGGCUCUCAUUCUUACUGAACCAUACAUACUGUAUUACAGGUCACGUGCUACUGUCAUAUCCAAGCGUAACACUGAAGCAGAGCUUCAGGUCAUCAGCAUACAGAGCCGUGGCUUUCUUCACAUGACUGCACACAUCACGUGUGGUUUUGUGUGUUUCUGCUACUGCAGCUGACAUUGGAAGCUCAACAUGCAUAAUACACCAUGUGUACAUGGACUCAGUAAUUCUAUAAGAAAUGAUCAAAGCUUUUGGUUGGUGAAUGUAAUAGGUAGUGUAGGUACAUAUACUGUCCUAUGCAAAUGAUUGGUUAGGUAUGGAAUUAUUCUUUAAUGAAACACGCCUAGUUUCCACCAUUGCAUUAUUUUUUAUUAUCAAUUAAUCUUUCAGUUACUGUUUUGAUCAGUUAUCUAGUCUAUAAAAUGUUUGAAUAUCAUAUACAAAUAGGUGCUUCUUAAAACUCCAAAUCCUGCCUCAUAAUCACCAAAUUUAGUCUUUUUUCUUCACUAUCAAAAGCAAUCCAGGUGAUCAUUGGUCUGAAGUCAAAUCAGUCAUUCUGUAUAUUCUUAUCUCCUGAUGCAAUACAGAGAAUGUACUAUGCAUUGGUUUAUUUCCCAGGUUUCAAGUGAGAAAAAAAGUUAUUAGUUAAAUUUGAUCCCACAUGUGACCGACGUAAACAAACGCCAGUCACACUGUCACAUGACAAACGUCUGGCAUUAGGGAUACCAUUUGAACCUCUUGCCAUAACAGCUUUAUUUGGUGUGUUCUGGCAGGAUCUCUGUCCUAAUGACUCUCUCAAGAAUGUAAUAGCUUUUGCGACACUUUUAGCAAGACGUUUUCUUUUAUUAAAAUGGAAAGAAACAUACCUACCAACCUCUACUCUGUGGCUGGGGGAUCUAAUGAAUCAUCUGACAUUAGAGAGAAUUAGACAUGCCACUAGAGGCAGUGCAGGCAAAUUCUACACUAUAUGUCUGUCUUAGAAAGACUGGACACUGGCAACAUUUCUCUAAAGUCCUGUCUUCUCUUGUAAAAUUAUUAUUAUAUGUAUAGGUUUUUCAUUUCUCUAUCAUUACACUAUAUAUGUAUAUGUUAUUCUUGACUUUUUUUUUCUUCUUUUUUGUACUAUUAUUAUUAUUAGUAGUAUUUGUAUCUGCAUUUGGCACUUUAAAUAAAUAAAUCUCACAAAUUUCUAAAUUUGAGGUGCAAUAAGAUUGGGUCUCCAUUGGAGUGGGGUUAUAUAUGUUGUUAAAAAAAGACAUGUAUCUAUUUAUAAAGUAGUAGUAGUAUUACAAUUUAAGAAAGAAGUUUAAUUUGCAGUGAUAUUCCAAGGUUGCAGUCUGAUUGAUGUCUAACGUCACAUGUAGUGUUAUUAUAAAAA